rnacentral:rRNA from 1 species
CGUACACUCCUGCGGGAGGCAGCAGUGGGGAAUAUUGGACAAUGGGCGCAAGCCUGAUCCAGCCAUGCCGCGUGAGUGAUGAAGGCCCUAGGGUUGUAAAGCUCUUUCACCGGUGAAGAUAAUGACGGUAACCGGAGAAGAAGCCCCGGCUAACUUCGUGCCAGCAGCCGCGGUAAUACGAAGGGGGCUAGCGUUGUUCGGAUUUACUGGGCGUAAAGCGCACGUAGGCGGACUAUUAAGUCAGGGGUGAAAUCCCGGGGCUCAACCCCGGAACUGCCUUUGAGACUGGUAGUCUUGAGUUCGAGAGAGGUGAGUGGAAUUCCGAGUGUAGAGGUGAAAUUCGUAGAUAUUCGGAGGAACACCAGUGGCGAAGGCGGCUCACUGGCUCGAUACUGACGCUGAGGUGCGAAAGCGUGGGGAGCAAACAGGAUUAGAAACCCGAGUAGUCCCA